CCCCUCUCAGGGUCACACCUGGAGAGUUUGCAGUACCCUACCAGUCAUGACUACAGGAGAGAGAGUCAAGCAGAGGCAAAGCAUUCCAUUCCUAGCUUGGGCAGUGGCUAGUGAGUGGAAAGCAGUCUGCUACAAGU